AGCUCACAGCUAACUGUGACGCCAUGCUCAGUUUAUAUGAAACAACCUGAUGCUUUAACACGUUUUCAUCAGCUAAGCUAGCAUGUUAGCUUAGAAAUGGAGGGGAGGACGAGGUCUGUCGUCAAACAAAGAAGCCACCACAGAAGGGAAACUUGCGUUGGGACAUUAGAAGAAAAGAAAAACGUCAGGAGAAGGAAACGUGACACUGGCUGAGAGAGCAGGGGAAGACAUGCAGCAGAGGGCCGGGUCAGAACUGGACUCACAGCCGCUGCAAAAGGACUCAAGCCUCCAUGGGGUGUCUGCACUACCAGGCCUGGAGAAGCAGCCAACACAGCAAUCUUAGAGUCUUGUUGGAGGGGAGGGAUUCGAGGCCCCAUGGGCUCUUUGGCUCC